rnacentral:rRNA from 1 species
GACGAACUGCCCAAACGUUGUUCGGAAUCACUGGGCUUAAAGGGCGCGUAGGCGGCAUGUCAAGUCAGGGGUGAAAUCCGGCAGCUCAACUGUCGAAGUGCCUUUGAUACUGACGUGCUCGAGGGAGGUAGGGGUGUGUGGAACUUCUGGUGGAGCGGUGAAAUGCGUUGAUAUCAGAAGGAACGCCGGUGGCGAAAGCGACGCACUGGACCUCUUCUGACGCUGAGGCGCGAAAGCUAGGGGAGCAAACGGG